ACUGUUUCUUGGCCUUUGGGCUAAGAUCAAGCAUAGAUACCUGUUCUUAUCCAUUUAACAUCUGAUCUGUCCUCUACCUGAGAGCAACAUAUUAAGUGGACUUUUAGAGCAAGGAGAUGGAAUGAGAGAUUGCUCCAUCCUCACUGUGCAUCAACCUGGUGGUGUAGUACCUCCAGGAACGGUGCACCCCCU